rnacentral:lncRNA from 1 species
UGGAUCUUGAGGUGAGUGAUUCCCUUGGCGGUCAUCGUAAGAGUGUGUUGUUGUUGUUACAUUAAUUAGGGUUUUAGUGUUUGAGUCACACUUUGAUCCUAAGUCUUGUAACAAUCUAUAUCUCACUAUCUAUCCUUUUAUUCUUGUAAUCUUGUUGUUCUUUGUUCUUGUUCAUUACUCCCUAUUUUGUAGUGUUGCUGGCCGAAUUUGUUGUUCAUCUUGUUCUUUAUCUUGUUGUUGUUAAUAUAGUUUGGAUGUUGUCUGUUUUGGUGUGCUAAACACCUUGUUCAUCUUGUUAUUAUGUUGUAUUGUUGAAUCCGAGAGAUGGUCACCAAAGGGGUCUCGAUUCUUGAACUUGUGGACUGAUUUUGGUGGGUGAUUUCGUGCUUCCCUUGGUUGUAUUGUAUCACUUUGGGAAGAGCUUUGGUAAAUACAUCAGCGAGCUUCAAUCUCUCUUUGGUCUCAGCAAUUUCAUUGAACAUCUCAAUACAUUUCUUCACAAGGUUCUUCCUAAUCACCUUGAGAAUCUUGUUUUGUUGUAGUAUUUCAUGAGAGAUGUUGAGAGGCAAAUCAUGAGAGUCCAAAACACCUUUUACAAAUCCAAGAUACUCGGGCAUAAGCUCCUUAAAAUUAUCCAUAAUGAACACCCUCCAGACAUAUAACUUGAUGUUGUUUAUCUUUUUUCGUGCUUCAGAUAUUAACAUAGCAUCUUGCUUUAAGAAAACUGCAAGUUCCUCAUCUUUAGAAGCCUCGUCUAAAGCUGCAACAAUAUUUUUUGUACUGUGGAGGGAUUCCCCCUUGAAUAUUUAGUCCAGAAUUCUUUUCCUGACAUCUUUCCAGGAACAAAGUUUAAAUAUGCUUGGCAGACAGUUGGUUUCUCAGCAAAAAUCUGAUGAAUAAUCUCUGGAGUCAAGUUAAAUGUAACUUUGUUCAUCUGACCAUCGGAUAAUGGUUUUACACACCACAUGUCAUUUUUUAAAGCUACCUGCUGUUUUGGAUUCUUAUUUUCAGUCUGCUCCAGCAGCCUGUUCCUAAUGGCCCAAAAUUCAGCCUCUGAUAGAAUACCUCCAAUGACCAAUUUCCUACGGAGUUUCUGCAGUAACUUAAUCCGACGCCCCAUUUUUGUUGCAGUGAGUUGCUCAUCACGGGAACAACAGGUUUUUCAAAAGCAGCUUUCCCCACUUCCCUACAAGCUGCAAUUGCUGAGGUAACAAAGUCCUGACACCGGUCACAGUCAGGGAAGCUAUCAAACCCAAAUCGAUAAUUUCCACCCUGAUCUUGUGUAAGAUUAAGUAGAUCCUAUUUACUUGAACCCUCAUCAUCUUUCUUGGGCUCAUCAUCUUCAUCAUUACUGAUUUCUUUCUCUCAGCCCAGAGGUAAAUUGGAUAGCUAAUGAAUUCAGACUGCUUCUUUAUGAGGUCCUUGAUUCUCAGUUCUUCCAAGUACUCCAGCUGGUCUUCCUUGAGGAGAAGAGUUAUAUUUGUUUCUCUUCCUAAUUGCUCAACAUUUACAUCCCUUGUAACAGUAAAUGAACAACCUGCUUAUGAUUCCAAGAUAUACUGUUCAUCAUCGUUGUGCUUGGUGGGCACAAUAACCUGAUCACAUUGACUACUUCGACAAACUUGCUCAGAAUUUGAGUUUCAAUUCAAAGGAAAACUUCUCUUUAUCAUUUUAACUGUAAUCACUUCUUGGCCACUAGAUUCGAAAGCAACACAACUUUUGUCUUUGAACAAUAACAUAUAAUCUUGUUCUAGAAUUUGAACAACACUCAGUAGAUUUUGGUCAAGAUCAGGUACUAAUAAAACAUCUUGAAUAAAUUUAGUACCUUUGGGAGCUUCAAUUGCCACAGUUCCUUUACCGACAAUCUCCAACUUGGUUUUAUCCGCCAACUUGACACUACCUUUGGAAGAUUCUAAUUUCAUAAUAUUCUUGUUUGCUUGUCAUGUGUUGAGUGCAACCACUGUCCAAAAACCAUGUAUUUUCAUCAUUCAAUCUUGUUGCUGCCAUCGGCAUAAACACAAACUCCUUCUGUUCUUCAACUUUCGAAACGUUGGUUUUUUGCGUUUUGUUGGUUGUUCUCCUUCUUCACUCUGCAAAACCUUUCAAUAUAACCAAGUUUAUUGCAAUAUCUACACUGGAGAGGUGGUUUCUUCCUCUUAAAACAACAAUCAUCCUCUUUAUGAUUGAUUUUUCUACAAUACUUGCAUGGAGGAAAGCUUUCUCUCUUCUUGACUCCAUUGCGAGAAUCGCCUUGAUUAUUUCUACUAGAAAAGUAGAAGUUUCUGGGAUUGUACCUUCUUCUUGCAUCUGCAUCUUCCCUUUGAACUUGGAUUGAAGAGCAGUUUCAGUAGCUUCUUCUAGUGAUACAAGAAUAACAAGGACAACACGAAACAUACUUUAAAAUUAGUCCACAAGAUCAAAGAUCCGAGGACCCUUGCAUAUUCUUGUGCCCUCGAGGUGACCAAGUCUUGAGCCUUUAAAUGAUGACCUCCAAUCAUGUCUUCAAAAAUUAAGGUGGCCAUUUGACUUGUAUCAUCCUUCCCUUCUUGAAAAGGAUUCGACCUCGAAUCCAAACCUUGUAAGAACAAAGAGAAGACAAACAAGCACCACAUCCUCAUGACAUGAGGGUUAGAGUUAGUACAAUAAACAACAUCAACAUGCCAAGGAGGUACAUACUUAAGAUAUAACCACACGUCCUUUGUUGUAAUCACGAGGGACUUAGAAAAAAAUUACAAAGGAGUUGGCGAAAGGAAUCACCAUCAAGGGGUGGUGUCCUAAUUGAAAGUAAAGUCCACCUAACACAUAUAACAAUAUAACUCAAACAAGUGGACCGACCAAGAACUAUCCAUCCUUCACACCCUAAGAAGUUACCGGGAUCGAAUGGGAGACGUAACCAAGGGCUUAGGUCUCGGCCACUCUCACUUUCCCCUAGGGUGUCAUCCUCGAAAUUAGGCAAGCCCUCUUUAUCACUAUUGAAAAUAUCAUGAAAUAAAAGAGGGUUGAGAAAGAUGUUCCAUAAGUCAACUUCAAAUUAAGGGUUCCCAUGCAUGCACUUACUGCUAGUUUCAAAAUUUCCACUAGGAAUAUGCCCAACAUAAAAAGCACAUAAAGACGAAGUAGAUGGCAUUUCUAAGUAUAUAUCACCUUCUCUUUCAUAAGAGUUGUCCUCACAUACGUACAAAUCAUCACGGGAAGCCAAAGGACCAUAAUCAAAAUCAUCUUAACAAAGACAAUCACAACUCGGGUUUUCUAAAUAUUCAAGCAAAUCAAGAUCAUCUAUGCCCGGUUGAUCAUUUUGCUUACCCUCACUAGUUAUACCCGUGGCACGGUAUUGACACCCCUCUAGUCGGGGCAGAGAUUGGACCCUAGCUUUGCUAUAACGGCAUACAUGGGGCAUGUCUGUUAAACACUACUUCCCACAAUUUCAGUACUAGUCUCAGUAAAAUAACUCAGGAAGUUCUUCAGAUUUCUGUAUAUACAGGACUGUCAAAUACAGUCGUCUAUGUUAUUAGUUUUAGUAUCAGUCAUGACAGUUAUCANNNNNNNNNNNNNNNNNNNCAACUACGUUCAUAUGAGUGUAGGGGAUAACAUUUUUACCUCGUACCUCACAUGAGCUACGGUCUUCAUCUUGACGUGUGUCCGGGUAGCCCACUUGCUCCCUUGGAACUCCCAUAUGAUCCAACCUUUAAUUUAUCACUUCCCAUUGAUGGGUAAUGGCUUCAAGUUUAGCCAAAAUUGCACUUGCAGCCAUGGGUUCCAUCGUAAUUGCACCUAAAAAAAGAAAAGAAUAAGUCUACAAAUAAAACACAAGUUAGUUCAAAACAACCUCACCAUACUCUCUCACACUUGAUCGUUUCACACUUGGAUUCACAAGUGUUGCAAGUCGGCUUGUAGUUCGUGAUGAGUCGAAGGGUGAGUCUACUCCUUGGUCAGAAUGGAUUCUUUGUUUGAAGACUCAAGGAAAUAAUGUCUGAACUUGAACCAAGAAAUUCUACGAUUCAAAAACAAGAAAAUCACAAAAUAACGCUAACACGAACAAACGGGAACAGAAACUAACUAACAAGAUAGUAGGAGAUUACUAGGUCGUCAAUUAGUGUUUAAACCAACAAACGAAACUAAGAAACAAUAAAUAAGAAAUCUAAAAGUUGAACUCAAAAUGUUGCAUGAACAGUAAUUUAGUGUGUGGCAGUCCACUAUUGGCCUCGGUUUUGUCAAAAUUUUACCCUCUAAUUUCAAGUCUUGACCAAUCUACAAUUUGAAAAUGGUAUAUUUGGUUAAUGGAGGGAAAUUUGGUCUUGGAGAUUCAUUUUCAAGUUCAAAGCAAGACUUGACCUUCUUGGUACUUUCUCCUUGAAACAAGGUCCUUAAAUCAAGAAAAGUAGGUGAAAAGUGGUUGUCAAGUCUUUUGAGUGAUGUGAUGAAGUCUUUCACCAACAAGUACUACAACUUGGUCUUUCACCUUUUGUGGAUCUAAUGUUCACUUUUGUUUUAACAAAAGAUGAAAAGGGUGAAGAACAACAAGAACACAAUAACAACACCAAGAACAACAACAAUAUUCUCCAAGAACAACAACUAAUUCCAAUGCCCAACUCCACAACAACAAGGCCUUCAACAUGGUCAAGGCUUAGAAUGACAACAACAUCAAAUCAACCACACUUUGUUCACAUUAACAACAUCAACAAGUUCAAGUUCAAGCUUAGAUUUGGACACUUUUAAGUGUUGGUGAGAAAGAAACCAACACUAGAAACACUCUAAACAACAAAAGACUACAAGAUCUAGUCACAAAGAAACAUGUCUCAGCCAAGACAACCACAAGAACAACAAAUUUCUCGGCCAAGAUCUCAAGCUCAAGAACACGUCUUUCUUUAUUUUUUUAUUUUUUUAUUUUCUUAGCAAGAAAGUCCAAGAUUGAUAUUGUAAGAACAAAAUCAAAGAUAGCUUUGAUACCAAAUGAUACAAGAAUUACAAGGACAACACAAAGCACACUUCAAAAUCAGUCCACAAGAUCAAAGAUCCGAGGACCCUUUUGAAGACCACACUCGGAUUCAACAAACAACAACAAGAACACAAUGUAUUGAUGUGUUUAUCACCUAAAACCAGAUAACAACAAACUAUGUUAACAACAACAAGAUGAAGAACAACAACAAUGGAACAAGAACAACGAGUCACAGAUUUGAAUUACAAGAACACAAACAAACAAUUACAACAUAAACAAAAUGGCUAGAUAGUUAGACCUUGGUUGGUAUAAUCUUAAGAAUCCAAGAAUAUGGUAAUCUUGGACCCUUAACACUACACACAAUGGUUAACAAACUCCUACAUUGACACAAAAGGAACUUUACUUUCUCUAAACACUAACGUCUCAAGCCAACAUUGCAACACAAGUGAUAUCCACACUUGUUGCCCUCAUUUUGGUGUGGUGGCUAUUCCAAGCCCUAUAACUAAAGGUGUUUCAUGUUUCAAGUCUUACAUCAAUGAACAACUAAUGAGAAAAAGACCUAAAAUAUUCUAUUUAUAUUCUAUUAUAAGACAAGGCAAAAUAACAACAAUGCCCUUAAAGAGUGGGGUGGCCAUAAAAUGCAUUUGGACCCAAUGAAGUGACCAAAAUACCCUUAAUGAAGAUGAACAAAUCAUAACCCAUUAAUUGUUGUCCAAAAUCGUGAGUCCUCAAGUCUUCGAUGCUCCAAGCAAUCUUCCACACGCGUCCUUGCUUGUGUUCAAAAUGGGUCUUCCUUGCAUAUUCUUGUGCCCUCAGGGUGACCAAGUCUUGAGCCUUUAAAUGAUGACCUCCAAUCAUGUCUUCAAAAAUUAAGGUGGCCAUUUGACUUGUAUCAUCUAGACUUAUGGAUCUUCUUUGCUAUUGAGAUUGAAGAGCAUGUACAAGUUCUGAAGGUGACAGUUUUGUGAGAUCCUUCGAAUCUUCGAGUGUGUGGAGAUCUUUGCUUCAAAUUUUUCCGGUAAACUCACAAGAACCUUUUCCACAAUUCUUGAAUCUGUAAGCUUUUCUCCCAUAAGUCUGAUUUGGUUUACAACCUUAUCAACUUGUUGGAGAAUUCUUCAAUAGUUACUGAAUCAUUCAUUCUGAGAAUUUCAAACUCUCUUAGAUUUAUCACUUUUAAUUACCUUUCUAAGCCUCCUUUCCAGUCUCACUCGCCAUAACUCUUGCAAAAAUUACUUCCGAAGGUGCUGAUUGUCUGCAAGGGAGAGCUUUAAAGUUUUUUGCAACCUCUUCUCUGUGAUUCUUAAUUUUGCGCCAUAGUUGAAUUGUCUGGCAAAGGAUUUACCUCUUCUCCAACCAUAGAUAAUAUGCUCACAAGUAUGUUCUCAUCUUGACAGCCCAAAUUGGAUAAUUCUCACCAGAAAAAAUGGGGGGCGAAGGAAUUGAAAAAUUGUUGGAAGCCAUAACAAUAUUGAAUUUUUCACAGGGUUAUUUUUUUUGGGGUCUUCUCUUUCACAAAUCCCUCAAGAAAUUGGCUCUUGAUACCAAUUGUGGUUCUACAGACUACAGAGAAGAAGAAAAUAGUUGAGGGUAAAAAAUAUUCUUCUUAUUUAUUCAUUCACAUAUGAAAAUAUAAAUAGACAAAAGACUCCUAUUCUAUUUCUAACUAGGAAACUAAUAAAAUCCUAUUCUAUCUUCAACUAGGAUACUAAUAAAAUCCUAUUCUAUUUCAACUAAAUAACUGAAUUUUAGAAAUAUUAUUACUAAACCAAAAAUAAAAAUAACAGCAAAUAACUCAAUACUUAAACGGUAUGACAAUAUUAAGGCAUUAUUGAAUUGGCUAGUUUAAGCAUAGAAAUGAAACACACAGAAAAGUUAAUAGUUCAGGCAUAAACCAACAGUUAAUAUUCAAUGCCUUCACGAUUCUCCCAAGACAGGUAGACAAUUGAGAAGAUUUUCCUAAGCCUCUUUAGGCCUGUCUAUUGGAUCUCCACACCUAGAAAGCUCUAUAAGUGCAUCCUCCAACUGUAGGUACAAUUUGAUACGUCUUUGUUUACCAAACCCUUUCCCCAUGCAAAAAUUUGGAUAGGUCUAUCCAUCUGUAAUUUCACAUUGGCGUCUUUCUCUAGCUGCAAGCAGUACUUAUCAAAGCUCGUUUUUCUCUAGCUGCAAGCAGUACUUAUCAAAGCUCUCAACACUUACGUGCAGUCGGAAAUUAAGGGCUGCCAAGAGUUUUAUCUCCAGCUUGUUCAGUUCUGCUGUGGUUGUUGUAGCAGCUAAAAAAAGACAAAAACUUCGAUACAUUAGCAAUGAGCUUUUGUGAAAAUUAGAACGAGUAUGGCUAGAAUACUUACUCAUCGUCAACAAACUUGACAUCCAACAUGAUGCUAGUGAUUAGAAGCCGGUGAACAUUAAGAGACAUCAGUAAACAACCAGUCAGGUUGAGGAAUCUCUCCAAGUAUACAUAUGCAACCACGAAAAGAGAAGGGCUGCAGUCGGAGUACUUAAAAAUGCGUUCAAUGUACUGUUGAACUGUCAAGACAGGGGCUCUUGUGCGAUGAAACACAGUUAGAUGACAUAGUGGCUUCUUUCGAUUUUAGUAGUGCUAAAAUUUAUGUUCUAGUUGGUUCAAGUGUGAAUCUAUUCUUUGCUGUCAUCAUGUCAAGCAUUUCCAUAUGAAUCCACACACAAAACCUAUUGACUUUUACCCUACAAUUAUUUAACUUUGCUCACUGGAACAAUGUUCUCGAUAAAGAAAAUUGUUGGGAUUUAUUUCUAACCUACAUCAAUGGCCAGCUCUUGGGUUAUCCAAGUCAACAAAUUUCCUUUGAAUAUCUGACAAAAAAGAUAUACCUGUGAUGUGUUUUGUGUGGCAAACAACCUUCCCGAGUUUAGAAGCCAGCAAGCCUACAAGCUCUUUUGUAUUAGCAAACUACCAAAUGGCUGGUGCUAGAAGUUUUCAGGGGAAUGAUCUAGUAGUAGAUUGGAAUGAGCACCCUUCUGCUUGUAGAAUAAAUUUCACGUCCUUUUAGUUUGGCACCCAGCUAGGACGGUUGGCUUGAGUUCAUAGUAAUUUAUACUUGAAGGUGGUAUGGUUCACACGUGGAGAGUAAAACUCUAUUCGUACUCGAGCACUCUAAAUUUUACCUUUUGUCCAGAUGCUUUGUCAUCUUCUAUUUGCUCGACAUGCAAUUCUAACUCUAUUGCUGUAACAGUUGGGGCUGCUGUGGGAUUGGCAGCUUACCGUGUUUAUGCUGCCUGGAAGAAUGCAUCAAGUUGAGAUGGUGUGAAGCAAAAUAUGCAAGUCAUGGUUGUUGGGUUUAUAGUAUAUGAAAGAAGUGUGAAUGAAAAAAUGGAGAAUAAAAUAGUGGAGGGGAAGGAGACUAAAAUGGAACGUGUACUCCCAAUUAGAAAGUUUACUCUUUCUCCCACAUUGGUGGAAGAAGAGAACUUGAAAGUGUUUAUAAUCAAGAACACUUACUCCACAUGGCAAGUAAGGCAAGAAAUAAUAGAUGCCUUGCGCCGUCAUCGGCGUCACUCGGCUUUGGAUUUGGAUUUGGCAAAUGAUCAAUUGAUGAGAUCUAUCUUUUUGGACAAACUUUAUUUGAAUUCCGAAGCUUUGGAUUUGGCAAAUGAUAGAUCAAUGAGAUCUAUGUUUUUGGACAAACUUUAUUUGAAUUUUGAAGAAUGCCAAGGAAAAAUGCAGUAAAAACCAAUUGCACUGUUUCAAGUGAACUGAUGCUGCAUUGUUUUCGAACUAGUGCUUCAGAAAUGAUACAUUGUUCUGAACUGAGGUUGCAAUGGUUCGAAAUGAUGCUUCAGAAGGAUGUAAUCCUUCAAUGAAGUGACACACUAAUUCAUGAAAUGAGAUGACUGUUCAGGAAAAGAUACAAUCUUUGAUGAACAAACAUGAACUUACAGCAAAGGUGUAACCUUUGGAGUGAACCAUUGCCUCUUUUCAGAAGAGGCAUGUUGUGGCUAUAUAAACCUGGUUUUUUUCCACAGAUUUAGUAUGAAAUUUUCAGAUUAAAAACUCUCUUCUUUUCUCAAAUAUAUUCUAUGUGAUCACUCAAAACUUUCUGUGAGUUCGAAGAUAUUCCAACCAUUUGAGGUACCGCUAUUGUUGGUCUGUUAGCCAUUUUAUCCAGGAAGGAAAAAUUUCACAACCUCGGGUACAGUGAGGGGGGUUAUUUCCUUAGGAAAAAUCUGUGAAUUUGGAUGACUUGGCUAUUUUCUGUUUCAUCUUAAUUUCAGCAAAAUAAAAUACACCUCUUGGAAAGGUCAUUUUGAUCUUGUGUUGAGGGUAUUUGAUAUACUUCAUUGUGUUCUUAUUUAUACUUGAACUCAAGUUGAAGUUGGUGUUGUAAUACACAGAUUCUGUGUACCCGAAGUACAAACAAAAUAACAAUCAUAUGGAAAUAAUUAAUUCUUCAGAAUCUGUAUAACUUAUUUUUGGAGAUUAAAGCUUUAAGCUUUCUACUCCGCUUGAAUUUAACUAGUGAUUAGAAGACAUAAAAUCUUCAUCACAAGUUAAAGUUCACUCGGUUGACGAUUUAAAGUUAUAAAAACUUCAUCGUUAAUUAGAAACAAGAAGAAAAGUUGAAAAGUUAUUUAACUUUAUAAGUAGUAUUCUGAAAAUACUAAAUUUUUAUGUCUUAUGUUGAAAGGAAAGAUGACUAACGAAAGUCAAAUGAUGGAUGCGACAACGUCUGUGGGGGCAACUAGUAUUGCCAUAUCAAGUCACACAAAUGCUCCGCCAACAAUGGCACCGGCGGAGAAGCCCAAAAAAUUUUUGGACAUUGACUUCAAGCGGUGGCAGCAAAAGAUGUUCUUAUACCUCAUCACUUUAUGUCUGCAAUGGUUCACUAGCGAAGACGCUCCGAGGUACCCUAGGAAACCUCAGACAAAGAUCGCUUCGUUAUUGUAGAAGCUUGGAAACAUUUGGACUUCCUUUGCAGGAAUUAUAUUUUGAGUGGUCUCCAAGACAACCUCUACAAUAUUUAUAGUGGAAACAAGACAUCAAAGGAACUGUGGGGGCACUUGAAUGAAAAUAUAAGACGGAGGAUGCGGGAAUCAAGAAAUUUCUUGUUACACGGUUCCUGGACUUCAAAAUGAUAGAUAGGAAAUCUGUUGUCUCUCAAGUACAGGAGUUGAAAGUCAUCAUACAUGAUCUCCUAGCUGAAGGUUUAAUUGUGAAUGAUUCUUUUCAAGUAGCAACGAUAGUUGAGAAGCUACCACCUUUGUGGAAAGACUUCAAAAACUACUUAAAUCAUAAACGUAAGGAGAUGACUGUUGAAGAUCUUAUUGUUCAACUUCGUAUUGAAGAGGAUAAUAAAGCUGCCGAAAGAAGGUCAAAGGGGAAUUCUACAAUUAAUGGAGCACAUAUUGUAGAAGAUGACCAAAACAAUUCCAAGAAAAGAAAGAACACUGAACAAGGAAGCAAUUAACCCAAGAAAAAGUUCAAGGGAAAAUGCUUCAACUGUGGCAAGAUUGGCCACAAGUCCACAAAUUGUCGUGCCCCAAAGAAAGGCAAGAAGAAGAAUCAAGAAAAUAAGAUUAAAUCCAACAAAGAAUGUGAUGAUCUGUGUGCUAUGUUCUCAGAAUGCAACUUGACGGGGAAUCCUCGUUAAUAGUGGAUGUAUUCUGGUGCCACCCACCAUGUAUGUUCCAACAAGGAGUUGUUUUCAUUAUUUACUCCAGCUCAAGCAGAUGAAAUGAUAUACAUGGCUAACUCCGCUACUGCUAAGGUGGCGGGAAUAGGAAAACUUUUCUUAAAGAUGACUUCCGACAAGGUCUUGACACUGAACAAUGUGUUAUCUGUACCGGAGUUACGUAGGAACUUAAUUUCUAUUUCACUCCUAGAUAAGAACGGAUUCAAAUGUGUAAUCNNNNNNNNNNNNNNNNNNNNNNNNNNNNNNNNNNNNNNNNNNNNNNNNNNNACCGAAGGCCUUUAUAAGAUGAAUGUAAUGACUGUUAAAAUAAAUAAAAGUUUGAAUUCUUCUUAUUUGCUUAAGUCUUAUGAUUUAUGGCAUGAACGUUUAGGCCAUGUUAAUUACAAAACGUUACGAGAACUGAUUAACUUAGAAGUUUUACAAAACUUUGAGUGCAAUAAAUCAAAGUGUUAAACGUAUGUGGAAUCGAAGUAUGCAAAACAUCCUUAUAAGUUCAUUGAAAGGAAUUCCAAUUCCUUAGACUUAAUACAUACUGACAUUUAUGAAAUGAAGUCAACACCAUCACGUGGUGGGAAAAAGUAUUUCAUAACUUUUUUUGACGAUUGCACUAGAUAUUGUUAUGUCUACUUGCUAAAUAGUAAGGAUGAAGCAAUGGAUGCGUUUAGGCAAUAUAAAACUGAAGUUGAAAAUCAGUUAAACAAAAAGAUCAAAAUGAUAAGAAGUGAUAGGGGCGGAGAAUAUGAAUCUCUCUUUGCACAAAUAUGUGAAGAGAAUGGAAUAAUCCAUCAAACUAAGGCCCUAUAUUCACCUUCAUCUAAUUGAAUUAUGAAAAGGAAAAACCAAACUUUGAAGUAAAUGAUGAAUGCCUUACUUAUAAGUUCUGGUUUACCGCAAAACUUAUGGGGGGAGGCUAUCCUUACAGCCAAUCGAAUACUCAACAGAGUACCCCAUAGUAAGACACAAUCAAUUCCUUACAAAAAAUGGAAAGGAAGGAAACUCAACUUGAAAUAUUUCAAAGUGUGGGGAUGUCUAUAGAAUGUUCAAGUUCCUAUACCUAAAAGGAUUUGGAUAGGACCUAAAAUGGUGGACUGCGUGUUCAUAGAAUAUGCUAAAAGUAGUAAAGCAUGUCGAUUUUUGUUUCAUAAAUUCGAACAUCCGGAUAUUAAUGAAAAUACGGUAAUUGAACCAGAUAAUGCCGAAUUCUUUGAAAACAUUUACCCAUAUAAACUUAGACAUGAACAAUCUAGUGGAGGAUCUAAACGACCUCAUGAUGAACCAAUUGAGAAUGAACAUAAUGAAGAAAAUCCAAGACGUAGUACAUGUCAAAGAACGUAUACUUCAUUUGGAUCGGGUUUUGUGAGAUUUCUUUUGGAAAAUGAGCCUCAAACAUUUAAGGAAGCGAUGACAUCUUCGGAUUCAUCCUUUUGGAAAGAGGCAGUUGUGGCUAUAUAAACCUGUUUUCUUCCACAGGUUUAGUAGAAAAUUUUCAGAUUAAAAACUCUUUUCUUGUCUAAAAAUAUUCCGUGUGAUCACUCUAAAUGUUCUGUGAGUUCGAAGAUAUUCCAAACAUUUGAGGUACCGCUAUUGUUGGUCUAUUAGCCAUUUUAUCCUGGGAGGAAAAAUUACACAACCUCGGGUACAGUGAGAGGAAUUAUUUCCUUAAGGAAAAUCCGUGAAUUCGAAUGACUUGGCUAUUUUCUGUUUCAUCUUAAUUUCUGCAAAAUAAAAUACACCUCUUGGAAAGGUCAUUUUGAUCUUGUGUUGAGGGUAUUUAAUAUACUUCAUUGUGUUCUUGUUUAUACUUGAACUCAAGUUGAAGUUGGUGUUGUAAUAUACAGAUUCUGUGUACCCAAAGUAUAAACAAAAUAACAAUCUUAAGGAAAUAAUUAAUUUUACAAAAUCUGUAUAACUUGUUUUUGGAGAUUAAAGCCUUAAGCUUUCUACUCCGCUUGAAUUUAACUAGUGAUUAGAAGACAUAAAAUUUUCAUCACAAGUUAAAGUUCACUCGGUUGACGAUUUGAAGUUAUAAAAACUUAAUUAGAAACAAGAAGAAAAGUUGAAAAGUUAUUUAACUUUAUAAGUAGUAUUCUGAAAAUACUAAAUUUUUCUGUCUUGUGUUGACCGGAAAGAUGACUAACGAAAGUCAAAUGAUGGAUGCAACAACAUUUGUGGGGGCAACUAGUAUUACCACAUCAAGUCGCACAAAUGCUCCGCCAACAAUGGCACCGGCGGAGAAGCCCAAAAAAAUUUUGGGCAUUGACUUUAUGUGGUGGCAGCAAAAGAUAUUCUUUUACCUCACCACUUUAUGUCUGCAAUGGUUUACUAGCGAAGAUGCUCCUGAGGUACCCGAGGGAACGUCAGACAAAGAUUGCUUCGAUAUUGUAGAAGCUUGGAAACAUUCGGACUUCCUUUGCAGGAAUUAUAUUUUGAGUGGUCUCCAAGACAACCUCUACAAUGCUUAUAGUGGAACCAAGACAUCAUAGGAACUGUGGGGGGAACUUGAAUGAAAAUAUAAGACGGAGGAUGCGGGAAUUAAGAAAUUUCUUGUUGUACGGUUCCUGGACUUCAAAAUGAUAGAUAGGAAAUCUGUUGUCUCUCAAGUACAGGAGUUGAAAGUCAUCAUACAUGAUCUCCUAGCUGAAGGUUUAAUUGUGAAUGAUUCUUUUCAAGUAGCAACGAUAGUUGAGAAGCUACCACCUUUGUGGAAAGACUUCAAAAACUACUUAAAUCAUAAACGUAAGGAGAUGACUGUUGAAGAUCUUAUUGUUCAACUUCGUAUUGAAGAGGAUAAUAAAGCUGCCGAAAGAAGGUCAAAGGGGAAUUCUACAAUUAAUGGAGCACAUAUUGUAGAAGAUGACCAAAACAAUUCCAAGAAAAGAAAGAACACUGAACAAGGAAGCAAUUAACCCAAGAAAAAGUUCAAGGGAAAAUGCUUCAACUGUGGCAAGAUUGGCCACAAGUCCACAAAUUGUCGUGCCCCAAAGAAAGGCAAGAAGAAGGAUCAAGAAAAUAAGAUUAAAUCCAACAAAGAAUGUGAUGAUCUAUGUGCUAUGUUCUCAGAAUGCAACUUGACGGGGAAUCCUCGUGAAUAAUGGAUGGAUUCUGGUGCCACCCGCCAUGUAUGUGCCAACAAGGAGUUGUUUUCAUCAUUUACUCCAGCUCAAGCAGAUGAAAUGAUAUACAUGGCUAAAUCCGCUACUGCUAAGGUGGCGGGAAUAGGAAAGCUUUGCUUAAAGAUGACUUCCGACAAGGUCUUGACACUGAACAAUGUGUUAUCUGUACCGGAGUUACGUAGGGACUUAAUUUCUAUUUCACCCUAGAUAAGAACGGAUUCAAAUGUGUAAUCAUUUCUGAAAAAAUUGUAAUUAGCAAAGGAGAAAUGUAUGUAGGAAAAGGCUAUCUGACCGAAGGCCUCUGUAAGAUGAAUGUAUUGACUGUUGAAAUAAAUAAAAGUUUGAAUUCUUCUUAUUUGCUUAAGUCUUAUGAUUUAUGGAAUGAACGUUUAGGCCAUGUUAAUUACAAAACGUUACGAAAACUGAUUAACUUAGAAGUUUUACAAAACUUUGAGUGCAAUAAAUCAAAGUGUCAAACUUGUGUAGAAUCGAAGUAUGCAAAUCAUCCUUAUAAGUUCGUUGAAAGGAAUUUCAAUUCCUUAGACUUAAUACACGCUGACAUUUGGGAUAUGAAUCAACACCAUCACGUGGUGGGAAAAAAUAUUUUAUAACUUUUAUUGACGAUUGCACUAGAUAUUGUUAUAUCUACUUGCUAAAUAGUAAGGAUGAAGCAAUGGAUACAUUUAGACAAUAUAAAACUAAAGUUGAAAAUCAGUUAGACAAAAAGAUCAAAAUGAUAAGAAGUGAUAGGGGAGGAGAAUAUGAAUCUCCCUUUGCGCAAAUAUGUGUAGAGAAUUGAAUAAUCCAUCAAACUACGGCCCUAUAUUCACCUCAGUCUAAUGGAAUUACGGAAAGGAAAAAUUAAACUUUGAAAGAAAUGAUGAAUGCCUUACUUAUAAGUUUUGGUUUACCGCAAAACUUAUGGGGGGAGGCUAUCCUUACGGCCAAUCGUAUACUCAACAGAGUUCCCCAUAGUAAGACACAAUCAAUUCCUUACGAAAAAUGGAAAGGAAGGAAACCCAACUUGAAAUAUUUUGAAGUGUGGGGGUGUCUAGCAAAGUUUCAAGUUCCUAUACCUAAAAAGGUUAAGAUAGGACCUAAAAUGGUAGACUACGUGUUCAUAGAAUAUGCUAAAAGUAGUAAAGCAUGUCAAUUUUUGGUUCAUAAAUCUGACCAUCCGGAUAUUAAUGAAAAUAUGGUAAUUGAAUCAGAUAAUGCUGAAUUCUUUGAAAAUAUUUACCCGUAUAAACUUAGACAUGAACAAUCUAGUUGAGGAUCUAAACGACCUUGUGAUGAACCAAUUGAGAAUGAACAUAAUGAAGAAAAUCCAAGAUGUAGUACACGUCAAAGAACGGCUACUUCGUUUGGAUUGGAUUUUGUGAGAUUUCUUUUGGAAAAUGAGCCUCAAACAUUUAAGGAAGCGAUGGCAUCUUCGGAUUCAUCCUUUUGGAAAGAGGCAGUCAAUAGUGAGAUAGAUUCAAUCUUAAGCAAACAUACAUAGGAAUUGGUUGAACUUCCUCCCGGAAAUAAACCGUUAGGUUCUAAAUGGAUUUUCAAAAGAAAAAUGAAGGCGGAUGGUACUAUUGACAAAUACAAGGCAAGACUUGUAGUAAAAGACUUCAAACAGAAGGAAGGCCUUGAUUACUUUGAUACAUACUCGCCAGUAACAAGGAUAACCUCGAUUUGAAUGUUAAUUGCCUUGGCGGCGGUAUACGAUCUUCAAAUCCAUCAAAUGAAUGUGAAGACCACAUUCCUAAAUAGAGAUUUGGAGGAAGAAAUAUACAUAGAACAACCCGAGGAUUUGUAGUUCCAGAAAAAGAAAAUAAGGUGUGUAAACUUGUUAAGUCACUUUAUGGACUAAAACAAGCUCCUAAGCCAUGGAAUGCAAAGUUUGACCAAACCAUGUUGGCAAAUGGAUUUAAGAUAAAUGAAUGUGACAAAUGUGUAUAUAUUAAAGACAUACCAAAUCACCAAGUCAUUGUUUGUUUUUAUAUGAAUGAUAUGUUGAUCAUCAACAGAGAUUUGUGACAUAAAUGCAACCAAACGAAUGCUCGAGAGCAAGUUUGAUAUGAAAGACCUUGGAGUUGCAGAUGUGAUCUUAGGUAUAAGAAUCCAUCGAACUCCACAAGGGAUAGCAUUGUAACAGUCUCAUUAUAUCAAAAAAUUACUUGACAAGUUCAAGGAUAUGGAAUUCAGUAUUGCCAAGACUCCAUUGGAUGUGAACUUUGCACUUGAAAAGAAUGAAGGUGAAAGUGACUCACAAUUGGAGUACGCAAGAGUAUUGGGAUGUUUAAUGUAUAUAAUGAAUUGUACACGACCAGGCAUAGCAUGUGCAAUUAGUAAAUUGAGUCGGUACACCAGUAAUCCCAACAAAACUUAUUAGAUGGCAAUGAAAAGAGUUUUGGGGUAUCUUUAAUACACUCAUCGUCUUCCAUUGCCCUGCGAGUGAAAUGGUACUGUCUACUAAUGUGAUUCGUCUUUGAAUGAUAGACUGGGUUCUUCACCAACUGUAUGACACUCUGGAUAUCUUUGUAUAGAAUCUUCUCCAGCUGCUUCUUACCCAAUUCUUCCAGAUAAUCUGCCAACCAUAUAAUCUCCUUUCCCGCUUCAACUAUUGCCACAUACUCAGCCUUAGUAGAUGAAAGAGAAAUGGACUUCUGAAGUCUUGACAUCCAAUUUACUGCUGUACCACCUAUGGUGUAAAUGUAUCCAAAUUUGAUCUUGCUCGAGUCCACAUCUCCACCAAGAUCAGCAUUAAUAAAACCUUGCAAAAUCACCUUGCCAUUGCCAAAACAAAGUAAAGUACUGGAUAUACCUCUCAGAUAUCUUAGAUGCCACUUCACAGCUUCCCAAUGCUCCUUCCCGGGGUUUGCCAUAUACCUGCUAAUAACUCCCACUGUAUGUGCUAUGUCUGGUCUAGUGCAAACCAUAGCAUACAUCAGACUCCCAACUACAAAAGCAUACGGAACAAGUGCCAUGUCCUCCUGCUCCUGAGCUGUCUUCGGUGACUGAUCCUUUGUCAAUUUUAUGCGAUUUGCCAAUGAAGUAGUCCUGGGUUUAGCAUCAUUAACUUUGAAUAUGGCCAACACCUUCUCAACGUACUGCUCUUGGGAUAGAUUCGAAGUUCCAGCAGAUCUAUCCCGAGAAAUCCUCAUCUCAAGAAUCUACUUCACUGCACGUAAAUCUUUCAUCUCAAAUUUAGAAGAUAGAAUUUCCUUCAAAGAGUUUAUCUCCUACAUACUGGAUCCUGCAAUCAACAUAUCAUCCACAUACAAGAGUAAAAAUACAUAAGAAUUAACAUAUUUCUUGAAGUAGCAACACUGAUCCUUUUCACUCCUAUGGAAACCACUCUUGCACAUAAAGGAAUCAAACUUCUUGUACCACUAUCUGGGUACCUGCUUCAGCCCAUACAAGCUUUUGUUAAUCUUGCACACCAUGUGUUCCUUGCCUGGAACUACAAACCCCUCUAGUUGCUGCAUAUAAAUUUCCUUAUCCAAUUCACUAUGUAAAAACACAGUUUUUACAUCCAUUUGCUCAAGAUGCAAAUUCUCUGAUGCAAAAAAUACUCAAUAAAAUUCGGAUAGUAGUUAAUUUCACUACAGGAGAAAAUAUUUCAGCAUAAUUGAUACCUUUCCUUUGUGAAUAUCCUUUAAUAACUAAUCGAGCCUUGAACCUUCUCUUGCCAUCUGUUUCUACCUUGAUUCUGAACACCUACUUGUUCAACAAAGUUUUCUUCCCUGCAGGUAACUCAGUCAACAUCCACGUGUUAUUCUUCUCAAGUGAGCUCAUUUCAUCAUCCAUGGAUUGAUCCCACUUGAUUGAAUCUUCCACCUGCAGGGCCUCAGCAAUAGACUCUGGUUCCCCUUCACCAGUUAGCAACAGAUAGUGUAAUGGUGGUGAAUACCUAUCUGGUGAUCUAAUGGUCCUGGAUGAUCUCCUCCAAACCUGUUCAGGUGUCACUUGCUCCAUCUCUGAUUCUUCAACCACAGUCUCUGGAGUUUGUUGAGUUUCUGCUAAAACAUCUUUAGGUGUAUUCUUCGGCAACUCAAGCUCAACUCCCACUUGCUUUGUAGUAUCUUGAACCUUUUGCUCUCUGUCCUUGUACAUGAAAUUUUCAUCAAAUAUUACAUCAUAAUGUCUUAGGAUUUUCUUGUUCCUGUCAUCCCAAAACCUGUAGCCAAACAUGUCAGAACCAUAACCUAUAAAGUAGCACUUUAUAGCUUUAGCAUCAAGCUUGUGUCUCUUCUCUGGAUCAACAUGAACAUAAGCCGUGCAACCAAAAGUUCUCAAGUGUAAAUACUUGAGUUCAUUUCCCUUCCAUACUUCUUCCGGAAUCUUGAACCCCAGAGGAACUGAUGGACCCUUGUUGAUCAAGUAAGCAGCUGUGCUCACAACAUCUUCCCAAAACGCCUUAGGCAGCCCAGAGUGUAUCCUCAUGCUCCUCUGACGCUCAUUCAAUAUUCUGUUCAUCCUUUUAGUAACUCCAUUCUGCCUUGCCUUCUCAGGAACUGUUCUCAUCAAUAUGAUUACCUCAGCUGCACAGAAUUAUUUGAAUUCUGACUUGUCAUAUUCUCCUCCAUUAUCAGACCUCAUGUCAUGACCUAAACUGGGGCCCUAGUCGUGACGAGUAUUCCAAACUAUGAGGCCUGAAACACCCCUAUCUGUCUGGUAAUUAUGCAUGAAAUUCAUAUGAUGAAAGAAAUGCGGAAGAUACACAAUAUAACGGAAACAUGGUGAAAAAUCACGCAAAAGUAAUAAUGGGGAAUAAUGUCCCACAGUCUCAACUCAAUGAUCUGGCGAAUUAUCAAUGAUUCAUUCUUAGAUUUUCUAAAUGAUGAAGAGAUAAAAAAUUUGCACUAUUCUGAAAUGUUGAUUGUAAUAGUAAUAGUAAUAAGGGGUAAAUCAACUGAGUAUUCAACUUUGAAAAGUCUUUCAAAUUUUUAUAAGAAAGGAACUGAUGUAUACAUAGGGAAAGCCGUGUGCAAUGAAAAGUGCAAGCACGACUUAGGGAGGGAUCUUUACUUGUUUAUUUCAUUUCAGAUUAACAUUGAUUUUAUUUAACAAGGAACUUAUCUACUCCAUCCGACUAGUUCCGGGUUCGAAUCCCAGGCAACCCACUAUCAUAUCAAAAUUCUAAUUCUCUAUAGAGAAGUUCGUAUUUUUCCAAUCAACUUCAAACAAAAUUGGAACAGAUCCACAUACACCUUGGUUGACACGAGUAUAUAAGUCAUGUUAUGCUGUUGAAUAACAAGCCUUCUAUUUUGAUUUGUAGAAAACUCGUGUGCUUGGGAGUCCCUGAUGAAACAAUAAACCAAGAUUUUACCAUAACUGCAAUUUUUAGAGAGAGGAGAAAGCGAACCCAAGCUUAAGGAGCUCUGAUCCCCAAGCCAGCACUUGCUACUCUCUUGUUGGUGAUCGUGUUUGGUAGCUCUUCGGUGUAUCGACAGUCUUCCCGGUUUAGCACUCGAUAGAUCCCGCAAAUAUGCUGCUAAUUUGUGGGUGCCUAUUCUUCGAUCCAAACUGGUGAUUCACCGCAUUCCCUUCUCUAGUCAGGAAUGGAGUCAGGGAUGCCCAACUCAAGAUAAGUCCUAAGGUUCUGUUAAAGUAUCCUUAAUAGCAUCUCUUUCUCUAGAAUCCAGGCUUGUAGAUCUUUGGCGAAUCAACAGGGUUUCUUUCGUAAUUAGGUUGUUCUCCGAACCUUGUUUGUUACUGAGCUGGGUAACUCAAACCCUAUCCCCUUCCUUUCUUAAUAGUAGAUAGAUGUAGAGCUGGAGACUCCCUCGAUAGGGCAUCUCAAUCUGGCUCUCAAUCUAUCGUGUAAGGAACGAAGACCAUAGGCAUAGGGUAAUAGCUCCUUACUUGUAAUUGAGAUAGGGGCUCGUUCGAUACAAAUAUUUCAUUUCGAUCUCCUCCCUCUCUUUUUUCUAUAAAGAAUUCUCAAAAAAAGGAGUCAACCUGUCUAAACUUCUCUAUAAAAGUCUUUUCCUCGCUGCUGGUCUUUAAACUUGCAACUGGUAUCUAAGUCUAAGACAAGAGAUUUUUCUUACUUUUAAGUUUGAUCUUUCGCUAGGAGCCUUAGCAAGAAUGGUUGGAACCGGUCUGACCUAUGAGACUACUCGAAAGGAGGCUUCCUACCAGCACUAGAGUGGGAUAAGUCAACCUUGCCUUAGGUCAAUCCCUUCCCCUACUCGGGCAAGCAACAGACCUUUUUUAACAACCUCUUAUGAUUGAUUCACUUCCUCCAGCAUUGGCUUCCUUCUUACCUAUGAUAUCCCCAAGAGCUAAUUCGAUAGCAGUUGCAUCGGAGCUAGCUUGGAAAGAGAGGAGGCAUCCUUAUCUGAGCCGAUCGUUAGCGUAUUUCUUCUUCUCGAGUGAAGUAGCUUACUCUUGCUCUGUGCGCUAGGGAGUCAGACUAUGCUUAGUUCUCAUUUAUGUUUGUGCUGUGUGAGUUCUAUCUAGGAAGCAAGCACCGCAAAGGGUUGACAGGGCAGCUCGGCUGGUAAAAAAGGAGAUGGUACCAAAGCGGGAGGCUCGUAGAUGCUACUAGUGCAAUGACUAGUCUAAUCUCUUUUCUUUACAUGAACUUUUUUAUUAUGUAAACUCGGUGUGUUAUCUAAGUCUUUUAACUAGUCCAAUGGAAAUCUCCUGUAUUGCAGCAAAAGUCAAAAAAAGGGUACUCGCGCAGCAGCCUGCUUGCCAAAAAUAAAAAUCCUUACUAGCCGAAGUAAGGGACUUUCUUACUCCGCCUACAUAAUGGACAAGGACUUAGUUGACUAUUCUUAGCCUGUUAUUCAAGAAUCUUUCCUCAGAAUGGAUGAUGAAUGGAAGCGAGAUUGGAUUGACGUAUAGAAACUACAACUACAGAUUUGAUCCCUUUCUGUUAGGGAAUCCCGACUAGACGAGGGAGAUAUAAAAGUAACGUUGACGCUACAAAAAACAAAGUCAUUGCAUAAGUAAUGAAUGAGCUAAUUUCUUAUUAGAAGCCUCUUUGACUAGACAGAUCUCCUUUACCGAGGGGUUCCCACAGAGAAGUCUUGCUCUGGCUUGCCAAAAGCCUUUAAUAUUGAGAAUGUUGGAUGUAUUACACACUGGUGGAAUUGUGUAAUAAGGCUUUUCACUAGCUUAGUGAAUUGAUUUAAACUAGUAAAUAGAGUAUGUUUUUGUUGGCAGUGAGUAAAUCUUUGAUUCAGAGGGUGGAAGAUGUUAUGAAUCUGAAGUGGGCUCUUGGCUUAGGUUCACACUUUUUUUUGUCUUUCCUCAAAAAGUCGUUUACAGUCUUCUGUGAGUCCUUACUUAUGGUAGGUAACAGACCCUCGCCAUUGCGAUUAUCAUCCCUAAUCAGAAAGUGUUUUUGUUUGCGCGGGUUUAUCCAGUUGAACAUAGCGCUAACCCAUUCCGCUAUCAUGCUUUUAUUGAAUUCUGCUUUCAGCAGCUAUCCUCCCAGAUGUGGCUCUUCCUGGAAGUGAGAACACUGCUGCCCGACCAAGGAAAUAAGGAGAAGAUUGAAAGGGUUAUGAAUCCCAUUGAGUUAGCCCUACUUGAUCGAAUUAGCCAGUCUCUUCCGUUCCGCCUGUGACCCCUUUAGAAUUCCAAUGUUGCUGGAAGUGGUGUGCUUGAACGUAGAUUGGGAAGUGCGAGAGAGCAGCCCCCGUUCUAACAAAAUUUCCUUCUUUCGCUGUUAAGCAAGUCCCCCUUCUAUUCGGCUGGCUUUCUUAGAAGCUUUUCAAGAUAUACUCUCUCUGUCUAUUGAAAUCCGAUAGAGUCUUCUUCCUGAUUAUGCCCCGGGGGUCAAGUCUAAUCUAUCUUUCCCGAACUGCAGUCAUAAUGAAUUCUUUCAUUUGAAAAGAAGCCUUUCAAGAAAAGUCAAUAUAGUUGCAAGUUGCUCGAGCAGUGGGUUGAAGCCUGGAACCCUUAUGGGUAUGGAACCUUUUUUCAAAUACUGGAUCUUGUGCUAGUAGUUCCUGGAUGUCUUCAAAGUGGGCCAAACACAUCUCUUAUUGAAAUAGGAGAAUUCGUGAACUAACUUGCUGAAAGGCCUGAUAUCUACUAUUGAAGUAAAAGAUCCUACGAGAGCAUUUCUGUCUUCAGACGUGGUAUAGGACUUCUAUUUCUCGUAAGUUUUUAUCUUAUCUUAUAUAUAUAUAAGAUAAGCGGAUUGUUGGAACUAGAUCCUCUGCUAGAGUCAGAGUUGUUGUGUAGCCAGGUUCACCUGCCCAAUGCCAAUGAUACGAAGAGCUAGCUUUGCUACCCCUGGGGGCUCACAGAGAAAAGUCUACUUGCAUUUGUGUUGCAUGUGAAAGAGCUUUCCCUGCACGCGGGAACCUUCCUUCUUCGAACCUUGAUGCUCAGUUCUGUUCUCCCGCACACCCGCUUUUGCAAGGCUAGCCGGGGGGGAGGUGCUUUUUCGGGUUUGGUUUGCCUAGAUAGGAAGUGCGCUUGCAGUGCUUCUAGUAACUAUUUUGAAGUAAAAUAUAUUUCUGUUCCAGGGGUAUGAUUGCUUCUUUCUUCGGCUUAAAAGCUAGGGCUUAUGGUUCGUUAUCAGUACCUGUUUUAGAGCGAUAUAACCUCCUUGUCCGCCUCUCAAUGUCCGGGUCUUUCCUCAGCCCUCUCUCUCGAUGUGGUGCCUUUCACUCUGCUCUGUCAAUACUUUAUCGCAAUGUCGAAAGAUAGGAUUUCAGGUCUUUUGGCAAUAGAAGGCAUAUUACUAAUUGAUUCUUUGGCCAUUUUGUGUUCGAAUUCUAAAUCGGCGAGGCGCUGCUGGAUGCUUCUGAUCAAUAGA